UACGUAGGUGGCAAGCGUUGUCCGGAUUUAUUGGGUUUAAAGGGUGCGUAGGCGGCUUAUUAAGUCAGUGGUGAAAUACUCUAGCUCAACUAGAGGGGUGCCAUUGAUACUGAUGAGCUUGAGUACAGAUGAGGUAGGCGGAAUUGACGGUGUAGCGAUGAAAUGCUUAGAUAUCGUCAAGAACACCUAUAGCGAAGGCAGCUUACUAGGCUGUAACUGACGCUGAGGCACGAAAGUGUGGGGAUCAAACAGG
rnacentral:rRNA from 1 species